rnacentral:rRNA from 1 species
AGCUUGCUCUUCUUGGAUGAGUUGCGAACGGGUGAGUAACGCGUAGGUAACCUGCCUUGUAGCGGGGGAUAACUAUUGGAAACGAUAGCUAAUACCGCAUAACAAUGGAUGACACAUGUCAUUUAUUUGAAAGGGGCAAUUGCUCCACUACAAGAUGGACCUGCGUUGUAUUAGCUAGUAGGUGAGGUAACGGCUCACCUAGGCGACGAUACAUAGCCGACCUGAGAGGGUGAUCGGCCACACUGGGACUGAGACACGGCCCAGACUCCUACGGGAGGCAGCAGUAGGGAAUCUUCGGCAAUGGGGGCAACCCUGACCGAGCAACGCCGCGUGAGUGAAGGAGGUUUUCGGAUCGUAAAGCUCUGUUGUAAGUCAAGAACGAGUGCGAGAGUGGAAAGUUCACACUGUGACGGUAGCUCACCAGAAAGGGACGGCUAACUACGUGCCAGCAGCCGCGGUAAUACGUAGGUCCCGAGCGUUGUCCGGAUUUAUUGGGCGUAAAGCGAGCGCAGGCGGUUUGAUAAGUCUGAAGUUAAAGGCUGUGGCUCAACCAUAGUUCGCUUUGGAAACUGUCAAACUUGAGUGCAGAAGGGGAGAGUGGAAUUCCAUGUGUAGCGGUGAAAUGCGUAGAUAUAUGGAGGAA